GCACUGCUGAUGAGUCCCAAAAUAAGACGAAACGGCCGUCCAGUGC
rnacentral:hammerhead_ribozyme from 1 species